GGCUCCGUAGCUCAGCGGAUAGAGCGUUGGUUUCCUAAACCAUGCGUCGGAGGUUCGAGUCCUCUCGGGGCCG
rnacentral:tRNA from 6 species